rnacentral:rRNA from 1 species
UUCGGUCAAAUCACGCUGAAACACCGGUUCUCGUUCGAUCACCGAAGUUAAGCAUCGUAGAGCCAGGUCAGUACUUAGAUGGGGGACCGCUUGGGAACACCUGGUACUGUAAG